CUGCUGCCUCCCGUAGGAGUCUGGUCCGUGUCUCAGUACCAGUGUGGGGGACCUUCCUCUCAGAACCCCUACGCAUCGUCGGUUAGGUGGGCCGUUACCCCGCCUACUGCCUAAUGCGCCGCAUGCCCAUCCCUGUCCGGCCGAAGCCUUUCCUGCCUCCGGGAUGCCCGGUGGCAUGUACGCGGGUUUAGCCCGCCUUUCGGCGGGUUGUCCCCCUGACAGGGGCAGGUUGCAUACGUGUUACUCACCCGUGCGCCGGUCGCCGGCGGAGAAA
rnacentral:rRNA from 1 species